rnacentral:rRNA from 1 species
AAGUUGAAAAGAACUUUGAAGAGAGAGUUCAAUAGUACGUGAAACCGUUCAGGGGUAAACCUGAGAAACCCAAAAGAUCGAAUGGGGAGAUUCAUCGUCAGCUGCUUUGGCUUGCGUGCGGGCACGAUGAUCGGGGCUUCGGUUCCGUGUCACGCGCUCGCUGCGCCAUGUCCGAGGUGGUCGGCGUGCACUUCUCCCCUAGUAGGACGUCGCGACCCGUUGGGUGCUGGUCUACGGCUCGGUUGUAAGUCUGACGUGUCUCGUUUAUGCGUGUCACGCGUAAGACAACUGAUUGCCCGACCGGCUGCCCGGCGGUAUUGAACUAUAAUUAAACGGUAUUGGGCCGCAUCAAGUGCGCUCAGGCCCUUUGGCAGGUUUGCCUCGCUCGGAUUUACCGACCUACUGUCCGUUGCCCGCGUCGUUUGGCGUGACUG